AACGAACGCUGGCGGAAGGCUUAACACAUGCAAGUCGAACGCCCCGCAAGGGGAGUGGCAGACGGGUGAGUAACGCGUGGGAAUCUACCCAGUUCUACGGAAUAACCCAGGGAAACUUGGACUAAUACCGUAUACGCCCUAAGGGGGAACGAUUUAUCGGAAUUGGAUGAGUCCGCGUAGGAUUAGCUAGUUGGUGGGGUAAUGGCCUACCAAGGCGACGAUCCAUAGCUGGUCUGAGAGGAUGAUAAGCCACACUGGGACUGAGACACGGCCCAGACUCCUACGGGAUGCAGCAGUGGGGAAUAUUGGACAAUGGGCGCAAGCCUGAUCCAGCCAUGCCGCAUGAGUGAUGAAUGCCUUAGGGUUGUAAAGCUCUUUCAGUGGGGACGAUAAUGACGGUACCCACAGAAGAAGCCCCGGCUAACUUCGUGCCAGCAGCCGCGGUAA
rnacentral:rRNA from 1 species